rnacentral:rRNA from 1 species
CCUACGGGUGGCAGCAGGGAGGAAUAUUGGUCAAUGGGCGCGAGCCUGAACCAGCCAAGUAGCGUGAAGGAUGACUGCCCUACGGGUUGUAAACUUCUUUUAUAAAGGAAUAAAGUGAGGCACGUGUGCCUUGUUGUAUGUACUGUAUGAAUAAGGAUCGGCUAACUCCGUGCCAGCAGCCGCGGUAAUACGGAGGAUCCGAGCGUUAUCCGGAUUUAUUGGGGUUAAAGGGAGCGUAGAUGGGUUGUUAAGUCAGUUGUGAACGUUUGCGGCUCAACCGUAAAAUUGCAAUUGAUACUGGCAGCCUUGCGUACCGUUGAGGUAGGCGGCAUUCGUUGUGUAGCGG